UACGUAGGGUGCAAGCGUUGUCCGGAUUCAUUGGGCGUAAAGAGCUCGUAGGCGGCUUGCUAAGUCAGGUGUGAAACCUCCAGGCUCAACCUGGAGCCGCCACCUGAUACUGGUAUGGCUCGAGUCCGGUAGGGGACCACGGAAUUCCUGGUGUAGCGGUGAAAUGCGUAGAUAUCGUAAGGAAGACCAGCGGCGAAGGCGAGUUCCUGGACAGUUACUGACGCUGAGGCACGAAGGCCAGGGGAGCAAACGGG
rnacentral:rRNA from 1 species